rnacentral:rRNA from 1 species
GACGAACGCUGGCGGCGUGCUUAACACAUGCAAGUCGAGCGGUAAGGCCCUUUUGGGGGUACACGAGCGGCGAACGGGUGAGUAACACGUGGGUGACCUGCCUCUAGCUCUGGGAUAAGCCCGGGAAACUGGGUCUAAUACUGGAUAUGACUCCAUGACGCAUGUUGUGGGGUGGAAAGCCUUGUGCGGCUAGAGAUGGGCCCGCGGCCUAUCAGCUUGUUGGUGGGGUGAUGGCCUACCAAGGCGACGACGGGUAGCCGGCCUGAGAGGGCGACCGGCCACACUGGGACUGAGACACGGCCCAGACUCCUACGGGAGGCAGCAGUGGGGAAUCUUGCGCAAUGGGCGAAAGCCUGACGCAGCGACGCCGCGUGAGGGAUGACGGCCUGG